AGUGAACGCUGGCGGUAGGCCUAACACAUGCAAGUCGAACGGCAGCACAGGAGAGCUUGCUCUCUGGGUGGCGAGUGGCGGACGGGUGAGGAAUACAUCGGAAUCUACUCUGUCGUGGGGGAUAACGUAGGGAAACUUACGCUAAUACCGCAUACGACCUACGGGUGAAAGCAGGGGACCUUCGGGACUUGUGCGAGUGAAUGAGCCGAUGUCGGAUUAGCUAGUUGGCGGGGUAAAGGCCCACCAAGGCGACGAUCCGUGGCUGGUCUGAGAGGAUGAUCAGCCACACUGGAACUGAGACACGGUCCAGACUCCUACGGGAGGCAGCAGUGGGGAAUAUUGGACAAUGGGCGCAAGCCUGAUCCAGCCAUACCGCGUGGGUGAAGAAGGCCUUCGGGUUGUAAAGCCCUUUUGUUGGGAAAGAAAUCCAGCUGGCUAAUACCCGGUUGGGAUGACGGUACCCAAAGAAUAAGCACCGGCUAACUUCGUGCCAGCCGCCGCAGUAA
rnacentral:rRNA from 1 species